CUUGGUCGAUUUUAUAAUGCGAUAUCCCAGGACAACGUAUCGCCGACCCUUUCAUUUUUAAGCACAUGCGGAAGCAAUUAAAAUCCCCAGACAAUAAAACGAUGGGAUAGAAAAGCAGGGCCAUAUUUUUCAUAUUGAAAUUUAUAACCACACUUUUAUACAAAACACAAACCACUUCGAAACUAUUCACAUCAAAAUGGAGAUCUCAAAAGAAGACAGAAACUUAGACAAACUAGGCCGUACUCAAGGCCUCUCUCAGAAUUGUCUUCUUCUUCCAAAAAUCCUUUUCUUCAGAUCUCACCUCCGAGUUCUCCUUCUCGGAUUCCUCCUCCUCAGCUCUUCAGCGUGGUCCUGAAAUGGUUUUCCCCAAACUGGGAUGAGACUACGUCUCAGCGAGUUCUACCCCACUAAGCCCGAUUAGUAAACUAUUAUACUACAGGCUGCCUAAACAUGCACAGGGUAGAGGACUUACCUUGGCCUCAGACUCCACCUGCAUAUUAGCACAGUUCAAUAGGCACCCAAGCAAUUACAUCACAGAUCAAUAUCUCGAUUCAUCGACCUAGUCGAUUUCAUGUCAAUUCGACUAUUCCCCAGUCGUUUCCCUUAUUCAGGUUCAAAUAGUACUCACGACUGCACAAGCAUAGACUACCAAAUAUCUUGGCAACAAAUUACAGUCCCGAAGGACACGACCUAUCUUUAGGUAGCAAAUUACGGCCGAAUGGGCACGACCUUUACUGGUAGCAAAUUACGGCCUCAUCAAGCGCGACCCUUAUCGGGUGGCAAAUUACGGCCUUAACAGGCGCGACCUUUAAUAGGUGGCAAUUUACGGCCCAACGGGCGCGACCUUUAAUAGGUGGCAGAUUACGGCCUUAUCAGGCGCGACCGACUCCAAAUUCGGUGGCAAAUCUCGGCCCAACUGGCAUAGCCAUACUUCGGCGGCUUCCGAGGUUCAACUCACAACCUCUCAUAGUCAAAUUCUAAUUGAAUACCGACAUUGAUCAAUCUUGGGAUGAAUCUCCACAUACUCAUCAACCCACUCAAUUUUCACACGAUAUUAACAUAUUUGAUGGAUCUUAGCCAAUAGUAUAUUCAAAUCACUCUCACAAUUCUACUCACUUUACAACUCAACAAAGCAUUGCAAACGAUGAAUAAACAUACUUGGCCAUUUACCAAUCAAUAAUUCAAUCUCAAUCAAUUCCAAUCAAUUUAGGGUAAAUUCCCAAAAUAUCACAAUUUAUUCAAUUCCAUACAACGUAGAGCUCAAAUAAAUAAACGGACUGCGCCACGACGAUCGGCACGAGAUUUCGGUCGUCAGCCAUCAAAAUCUUAAUUUCCGAAAAAUAAUUAAUUUAUUUAUUAAUUUCGAAAAUUAAAUAAUUAUUAUUAAAAAUUCAAUUUAGCUCAAAAUAAAGCCCGAUUACAUAAACGGACUUCACCACGGUCACCAGCCUACUUUUCCGGUUCCAGACCAUCCCUGUUGAAUUUUCGGAAAAUAAAUAAUUAUUUAAUUAAUUUCGAAUAAUAAUUAAUUAAUAUUAAAAAUCCCAUUUAACUCAAAUUAGAGCCCGAUUAAAUAAACGGACUUCACCACAAUCAUCAGCACAAUAUUCCGGUCCCGGGCCAUCUCAGUUGAAUUUUCGGAAAAUAAAUAAUUAUUUAAUUUAAUUCCGAAAAUUAAUAUUUAAAUACUAAAAAUAUCCACUUAGGCCCGAAAAGCCUAAUUGGAGCCCACUAAGGGUCGGGAAAAUUCCCGAGACACUUCCAAUAAUUAGCAGACCAUGUCUACUUGCUAAUUACACAAUCAAUUUAUCUAAUUCGCAUCACAAUUGGCUAAUAAUUGCUAAGUAAAUCUAAUCUAACAACCUAAACAUAAUUAAUUAAAUCUAAACCAGCUUAAAGCAUAAUUAGCCACUAAUCCUGGAUUAGUGAGAUUACUCACCAAAUCGCGCGCAAAUCGGAUCAAUCCGACGGCGGCGACGCGAGGAACGAUUGUUCCCAAAGCGACUCGCGGAUCCGGGGCCGGGAAAUGGCCCAAAAGCGGGCCCGAAGUGGCUGAAACCCACUUCGUGGGUCUGCUGGUCGGGGCCGAACAGAGCUGCUCCGGCGGCUAGGGUGGCGGGGGAAGACCGGCGGAGGGCGAGGGGGUCGCGGGGAAGGUCCGGCGGGGUUGGCGGUGGUCCACGGUGGCCGGAGGGUGGCUGGUCGGUGCUGGAACAG
rnacentral:lncRNA from 1 species